GACGAACGCUGGCGGCGUGCCUAAUACAUGCAAGUCGAACGAACUCUGGUAUUGAUUGGUGCUUGCAUCAUGAUUUACAUUUGAGUGAGUGGCGAACUGGUGAGUAACACGUGGGAAACCUGCCCAGAAGCGGGGGAUAACACCUGGAAACAGAUGCUAAUACCGCAUAACAACUUGGACCGCAUGGUCCGAGUUUGAAAGAUGGCUUCGGCUAUCACUUUUGGAUGGUCCCGCGGCGUAUUAGCUAGAUGGUGGGGUAACGGCUCACCAUGGCAAUGAUACGUAGCCGACCUGAGAGGGUAAUCGGCCACAUUGGGACUGAGACACGGCCCAAACUCCUACGGGAGGCAGCAGUAGGGAAUCUUCCACAAUGGACGAAAGUCUGAUGGAGCAACGCCGCGUGAGUGAAGAAGGGUUUCGGCUCGUAAAACUCUGUUGUUAAAGAAGAACAUAUCUGAGAGUAACUGUUCAGGUAUUGACGGUAUUUAACCAGAAAGCCACGGCUAACUACGUGCCAGCAGCCGCGGUAAUACGUAGGUGGCAAGCGUUGUCCGGAUUUAUUGGGCGUAAAGCGAGCGCAGGCGGUUUUUUAAGACUGAUGUGAAAGCCUUCGGCUCAACCGAAGAAGUGCAUCGGAAACUGGGAAACUUGAGUGCAGAAGAGGACAGUGGAACUCCAUGUGUAGCGGUGAAAUGCGUAGAUAUAUGGAAGAACACCAGUGGCGAAGGCGGCUGUCUGGUCUGUAACUGACGCUGAGGCUCGAAAGUAUGGGUAGCAAACAGGAUUAGAUACCCUGGUAGUCCAUACCGUAAACGAUGAAUGCUAAGUGUUGGAGGGUUUCCGCCCUUCAGUGCUGCAGCUAACGCAUUAAGCAUUCCGCCUGGGGAGUACGGCCGCAAGGCUGAAACUCAAAGGAAUUGACGGGGGCCCGCACAAGCGGUGGAGCAUGUGGUUUAAUUCGAAGCUACGCGAAGAACCUUACCAGGUCUUGACAUACUAUGCAAAUCUAAGAGAUUAGACGUUCCCUUCGGGGACAUGGAUACAGGUGGUGCAUGGUUGUCGUCAGCUCGUGUCGUGAGAUGUUGGGUUAAGUCCCGCAACGAGCGCAACCCUUAUUAUCAGUUGCCAGCAUUAAGUUGGGCACUCUGGUGAGACUGCCGGUGACAAACCGGAGGAAGGUGGGGAUGACGUCAAAUCAUCAUGCCCCUUAUGACCUGGGCUACACACGUGCUACAAUGGAUGGUACAACGAGUUGCGAACUCGCGAGAGUAAGCUAAUCUCUUAAAGCCAUUCUCAGUUCGGAUUGUAGGCUGCAACUCGCCUACAUGAAGACGGAAUCGCUAGUAAUCGCGGAUCAGCAUGCCGCGGUGAAUACGUUCCCGGGCCUUGUACACACCGCCCGUCACACCAUGAGAGUUUGUAACACCCAAAGUCGGUGGGGUAACCUUUUAGGAACCAGCCGCCUAAGGUGGGACAGAUGAUUAGGGUG
rnacentral:rRNA from 2 species